rnacentral:misc_RNA from 2 species
GGGAAUGCAGCUCUAAAUGGGAGGUAAAUUUCUUCUAAAGCUAAAUAUUGGCCAGAGACCGAUAGCGCACAAGUAGAGUGAUCGAAAGAUGAAAAGCACUUUGGAAAGAGAGUCAAACAGCACGUGAAAUUGUUGAAAGGGAAGCGCUUGCAGCCAGACUUGCUUGCAGUUGCUCAUCCGGGCUUUUGCCCGGUGCACUCUUCUGUAGGCAGGCCAGCAUCAGUUUGGGCGGUGGGAUAAAGGUCUCUGUCACGUACCUCUCUUCGGGGAGGCCUUAUAGGGGAGACGACAUACCACCAGCCUAGACUGAGGUCCGCGCAUUUUGCUAGGAUGCUGGCGUAAUGGCUGUAAGCGGCCCGUCUUGAAACACGGACCAAGGAGUCUAACAUCUAUGCGAGUGUUUGGGUGUCAAGCCCGAGCGCGUAAUGAAAGUGAACGGAGGUGGGAACCCGCAAGGGUGCACCAUCGACCGAUCCUGAAGUUUACGGAAGGAUUUGAGUAAGAGCAUGGCUGUUGGGACCCGAAAGAUGGUGAACUAUGCUUGAAUAGGGUGAAGCCAGAGGAAACUCUGGUGGAGGCUCGCAGCGGUUCUGACGUGCAAAUCGAUCGUCAAAUUUGGGCAUAG